rnacentral:rRNA from 1 species
CCUACGGGUGGCAGCAGUGGGGAAUAUUGGGCAAUGGGCGCAAGCCUGACCCAGCAACGCCGCGUGAAGGAAGAAGGCUUUCGGGUUGUAAACUUCUUUUCAUAGGGACGAAGCAAGUGACGGUACCUGAGGAAUAAGCCACGGCUAACUACGUGCCAGCAGCCGCGGUAAUACGGAGGCGGCAAGCGUUAUCCGGAUUUACUGGUUGUAAAGGGCGUGUAGGCGGGAAAGCAAGUCAGAUGUGAAAACCAUCGGCUCAACCUGUGGACUGCAUUUGAAACUGUUUUUCUUGAGUACUGGAGAGGCAGGCGGAAUUCGUGGUGUAGCGGUGAAAUGCGUAGAUAUUAGGAAGAACCCCGAUGGCGAAGGCAGUCUACUAGACUGCAACUGACACUGAGGCGCGAAAGCGUGGGUAGCAAACAGGAUUAGAUACCCGUGUAGUC